rnacentral:rRNA from 1 species
UGUGGCCAUACCACUCUGAAUGCACCCAGUCUUGUCUGAUCUCAGAAGUUAAGCUGGGUAGGGCCUGAUUAGUACUUGGAUGGGAAACACAUCAAGAAAGCAAGAUUAAAUUCACAA